rnacentral:rRNA from 1 species
UACAGAGGGGGCAAGCGUUGUUCGGAAUUACUGGGCGUAAAGGGCGCGUAGGCGGCCUGUUAAGUCGAACGUGAAAUCCCCGAGCUCAACUCGGGAACUGCGUCCGAUACUGGCAGGCUUGAAUCCGGGAGAGGGAUGCGGAAUUCCAGGUGUAGCGGUGAAAUGCGUAGAUAUCUGGAGGAACACCGGUGGCGAAGGCGGCAUCCUGGACCGGCAUUGACGCUGAGGCGCGAAAGCCAGGGGAGCAAACGGG